rnacentral:rRNA from 1 species
AUUGAACGCUGGCGGCAGGCCUAACACAUGCAAGUCGAGCGAGCGGCGGACGGGUGAGUAAUGUCUGGGAAACUGCCUGAUGGAGGGGGAUAACUACUGGAAACGGUAGCUAAUACCGCAUACCAUCAGAUGUGCCCAGAUGGGAUUAGCUAGUAGGUGGGGUAACGGCUCACCUAGGCGACGAUCCCUAGCUGGUCUGAGAGGAUGACCAGCCACACUGGUACUUAGACACUGUCCAGACUCCUGCAGGUGGAAGCCGUGGGGAAUAUUGCACAAUUGGCGCAAUCCUGAUGCCGCAAUGCAGCGUGUGUGUAGAAGGCUUUCGGGUUGUAAAGCACUUUCAGCGGGGAGGCGUUACCCGCAGAAGAAGCACCGGCUAACUCCGUGCCAGCAGCCGCGGUAAUAC